CGAAUGGGUUAAGUGCAUUUUAUUCUCCUAUUCCCGAAAACUGGUCAACUUCUUUAUAUACAAUUUUCUUACAAAUCAAAGUACAAGAUUUACCGGAAGACCCCAUUCUCAAUUUUACUGGCUUUUGUUAACGCAUUUUUGUGCGUCUAAUGUUAAGGUCCCACUGCUUAAUUAAACACAGAUCUUCCAGAUCUCCAAAUCCACAUUUUUUUCUCAAUCCUCGUCUCCUAAACCUGAGAAAAAGUAAAUUAAAUCGCUUGGCAGGCAGCAUUGUGUAGACAAAGACUGGGGUGGUUUGGGAGGUUUUUUUCUUUAAACAAACUUUAAAUUAUUUUUUUGUUGACAUCGUUUCUUUAACACUGACUGCUUAAUGGAUAGGAGAUUUUAAAAAUCUAUCCAUUUUGAUCCUUUUAAACACUUCUGUCCUUCAGUUUCUAGGAGACCCUCAGUCUGUCAUAUGGCUUAUGUAACCGUGCCUUUAGGUGUUUCUCAUGACCUGUAAAGAUACAUUUGGGUCAUUUUUACUUUAUUCACAUUAUCCAUUUCCUCCACAUUUUAGACUUUCUGACUCUAUAUUUUCCUUUCAUCUCAUUCUGGAUUCUAUUUAUCGUUUAUUACUUUGAUUUCUUAAAAAUAUGAUCAUUAAGUAAGGGCUACUACUGACACAUUCUCCCCAGGCUACUGGUCUUGCAUAUAAAGCUAAGUGCUAAACAUCUGAGGAACUGUUUCCUCUUGAAUUGUACAAUAAACAUGAUCAACGCUAACAGCUUCUAUUAAACUGUAACUACUGCUGAUAACCCCCAUCUGCAAAUUUAACUGGUAAAUUAUGAGAGGCAUUCCGUUGGAAGUCCUGGUCUUGGCAACCUAAUUGGUAAGUGAAUAUGGUUUUAUACAGUUCGACAGCUAAUACAUUGAAAUGAAUCUUAUCGGCUGGGCGCGGUGACUCAAGCCUGUAUUCCCAGCACUUUGGGAGGCCGAGGUGGGUAGAUCACAAGGUCAAGAGAUCGAGACCAUCCUGGUCAACAUGGUGAAACCCCGUCUCUACUAAAAAUACAAAAUAUUAGCUGGGCAUGGUGGCGCGUGCCUGUAAUCUCAGCUGCUCAGGAGGCUGAGGCAGGAGAAUUGCCUGAACCCAGGAGGCGGAGGUUGCGGUGAGCCGAGAUGGAGCCAUUGCACUCUAGCCUGGGUAACAAAAGCGAAACUCCGUCUCAAAAAAAAAAAAAAAAAAAAGAAAUGAAUCUUAUCAUUAGUGCAAUAUAAGUUGUUAUUGAUUUUGAGCUUAUGUGCUUUCCUAUUUUAAAGAUUGGUUUUUCCAUAUGAACUAAAAGGUGGCCAGCUUGAUGAUGCCUUUAAAACUUUACAAAUAUACUUAUUAAAUUAAAUAUUUGAACUAUUAUUAUCUUUAUAUUGUUUGCAAUUAAUGAAUAUGACUUUCAAAACAGAUGAGUUCUAAUGUUUUUAACUGCUUAGGCAGAAGUGCUUUUUUGAAGAAUGCUUGCACAACUUUAUGCCUAAAUUUUCACUCUGACCUUUGUGCUCAUUAUUUCUGAAUUUUUAUGUUCUAUGACCUGCUUUGCCCUUUCACUAAGCCCCUUCAUUGAAGAGUCAUCAAGAAACACAAAUUGGCUGGGCACAGCAGCUCACACCUGUAAUCCCAAGCACUUUGGGAGGCCGAGGUGGGUGGAUCACUUGAGGUCAGGAGUUCGAGACCAGCUUGGCCAACAUGGUAAAUCCCCGUCUCUACUAAAAAUAUAAAAAAUUAGCCAGGCAUAGUGGGCACCUGUAAUCCCAGCUACUUGGGACACUGAGGCAGGAGAAUCGCUUGAACCCAGGAAACAGAGGUUGCAGUGAGCCAAGAUCACGCCACUGCACUCCAGCCGGGGUGACAGAGCCAGACUAUAUCUCAAAAAACAAACAAAAAAAAAAACCAGGAAUUAUUCCAAAUGUCUUAUGCAUGCAUUUUCUUAUUUCUACCAAUAUUAAUAUACUUCAGACCUACGGUAUCAGUUUUUUAUCACUGCAUAAUAACAAUAGUGAUUUUAAAGAAUUACCAUUUUAUUUGUUCAUAAUACCAUUAUCAUCAAUUUGGACAGGGUUCAGCUAGGUGGUUUGUCUGCUAGCUUACCUGGGAUCUCUUAGGUGAUUUUCUUGUUGACUCAGCUGGAGCUGGAUGCUUAUAGAGCCUCACUCUUUUUUUUUUUUUUGAGACGGAGUUUCACUCUUUUGUUACCCAGGCUGGAGUGCAAUGGCACGAUCUCGGCUCACCUCAACCUCCACCUCCUGGGUUCAGGCAAUUCUCCUGCCUCAGCCUCCUGAGUAGCUGGGAUUACAGGCAUGCGCCACCAUGCCCAGCUAAUUUUUUGUAUUUUUAGUAGAGACGGGGUUUCACCAUGUUGACCAGGAUGGUCUCGAUCUCUUGACCUUGUGAUCCACUCGCCUCGGCCUCCCAAAGUGCUGGAUUACAGGUGUGAGCCACCGCGCCUGGCCUGAGCCUCACUCAUUUUUUUGGAAGUUGGUGCUGGCUGUUGACGGAGCCAUGUGUCUUCAGGAAGCUAGCAUGGGUUUUGUCACAUGGUGGCAGUGUUCCAAGUGAGUUUAAGCACCAGUGCACAAGUAUUUUUCAGGCUUCAGCUUGUGUCAUAUUUGCUGAUAUUCCAUUGACAAGUUUCAUUGGCAAGUCACAUGGCCAAGCCCUAAGUCACUGUGGGAAGGGACUACAAAAAAAACGGGGAUACAGAGAAAUAGAGGCUCUUACUGUAACAAUAGACAACACCUAGGGUAAAGGGACAGCCUCUGAUAUAUUCUGCUAGACUCUUGUCCUGCCGUCCUCCUGUUUAUUCUACACAACCACAACUGGGCAGUCCUUCUUAAACACCAGUUAUUCUUUCUCCAGCUCUUUAAUUCUCAAUCAGGUAAUAAUUUUGUUUCCCAGGAGACAUUUGGCAGCCUGAUGACAUUUUUGGCUGUCUUAAUUUGAGAAGGAGGAGAUGCUCCUAGCAUCUAGUAGAUAGCUACAGGGAUGCUGCUGACUAUCCUACAAUGCACAGGCCAGAGCCUCCCCUCCUUCCCAUUACAAAGAAUUAUCUGGCCAAAAAUGUAAAUUGUGCUGAGGUUGAGGAAGCCUGUACCCUAACUCAUAAACCCCCAGUGGUGCUCCAAUACAAAGAGAACUAAAGAUAAAUGCUUCGUCUGAGCAUCCAAAACUCUCUGUAAUUCGGUCCCACCACAUAGAUCAAAUAUUUCACACUUUAGUCUCCAUCAGGGCUUCUACUGUCCCCAAAUAAGCCACACUUCAUCACAUGAUUAAGUUAAUAGCUCCUCAUUAUCAGGAAAAAUGUAAAUAUCAAGCAGAUCUUUUAGCUUUUCUCUCUUCUGUCUAACCAGACCAUUUCCCAGCUUCAGUAAAAGAAUUGGAUCCUGCUUUUCUACAAAAGUUUGCACAACUGCAUUGUGACCUGCCACUCACAAAUACAUCACUUAGUCUGUAUGUCAGUUCAGGUAUCAGGCAGCAGGAAUGUUUUUUAAUAACCCCGGCAACAUACUCAGGGGAUAGCCACGGUCAUAUAAUCUGUCUCUAAUUAUUUUCAAGAAAUAGAAAAGACAGAAAAAAGAAAUAGGAGGUACUUCUUUUUUAUUUUAGCAUUCAGAAGCAGCUAGCCAGGAACUGGAGAUAACAGAGCAGCCUUUGAGAGCCAGUGAAUUAGUAGGUAAGGAGAGCUUGCCCAUGGUUGUCAGCAUGACUUAAAAAGAUCAGCUUCCUCUCUGGCUGCUCAGAAUUUUAAGAAUCAGAGAUAAUCUUGUUAUAGCCUGUUUUUCAAAGGAGUGGAAAGGUAUCUUUGGAAAAAAAUAGUUUUGUCAUCAGUUACAUUUGUAAAACACAAAUAAAUUUGAGAAAGAAUCCUAUAUUCUUUUGAAACAAAGCUGUUCGAUCGAAUACUUCCUAAAUGUAUUUGACUAUGGUAACUUUGACUUUUGGGUUUUGGUUUGGUUUGGUUUCAAUUUCCAUGAGCUUUCCACAGACUUAGUGCACUUCUUUAGGAGACCUCAUGUUAGACAAUGACUAGGCUGGUGAGUCAUGAGAAGUGAUCCCUUGCCACUACACCGUAAAUUGGACCAACUUCCCAUAAUGGGAAUGAGCACACCACUUUAACCUGCUUUUCAUCUGGUAAGUGGGAAAAGCUUAUAGUGGAAGCCUAUUGUAAUCCACCCUGUAAGAUUUCCUUCAGGAGCAAGAGCGUUCCUCAGAGCAUGACUUAAUACUGCAGUUACUUUGCCCCAGAAAGACCCGAAAUGCCAUUUAAAAUGGAACUAGAGAUCUUAGUAAUGGCAUACCACUGAGGCACCAGCUAGGAGGUUCAGAAACACUCUGAAACGUACAUAGCCCUGUAAGACCUUGAGUCUUAGUUUUCUCAUGCAUAUAUAUACUCAGGACUUACCAUUCCUAAGGAGGUUACAGGAAAAUUGUUGGAGAUUUUGCAAAAAGGAAUGUGUCAGCAAACUUGUAUCAUAGUGAUCUACUUUCCCUUUAUGUAAAGCAUGAAAAAAGAGAAAGUAAUAACAUAUAUUCCUAUCCAUAAUUAGCAAGUUUGAACAUCCUGUCCUGUUUGCUUCCGAUCUAUUUUUUUAAAGAAAGCAUCAUAGACCCAGUUGAACUUCCCCUUUGCUGCAUAUUGUUUCUAUAAUUAAUAUUUAGCAUUGUUGUCUAUGUGUUGUGUUGGCAGUUAUCAGACUUUGGUAAAUCUUUCAUUUGAGAAAAUUAUGUAUUUCUGUAAUGCUCCAAACAAUAUGAAAUACCAUUUCAUGUCUUGAACCAGAGCAGAGUUGGCAUUCAUUAUUAGAACUGAGCAAGAAGUGUUGCAUUUCAAACUUCUGAUCCCAUUUUGUGAUAACUAAGCAAAACUCAUGUCAUUUUUCCACAUGAGCAAACUGUGUGUCUCGUCCAUCAUGCUCCUCUCAGUUAAGACAAAAGUCUGUGUUUUUAAUUUAUUAAUUAUUGAUGUAUUUAUUUUUUGUAACAGGGUCUCACUCUCAUGCAGGCUGGAAUGCAGUGGUGUGAUUACAGCUCAUUGCAGCCUCGACCCCCCUGGGCUAGAUGAUCCUCCCAUCUUGGCUACUGGAGUCAAUGGGACUACAGGCACGCACCACUAUGUCCCAGCUAAAUUUUCUUGUAUUUUUUUGCAGAGUUGGGAUUUCUCCAUGUUGCCCAGGCUAGUCUCAAACUCCUGGGCUGUAGAUUUGCCUGCCUCAGCCUUCUGAAGUCCUAAGAUUACAGGCAUGAGCCACCAUACCCAGCUGCUAUUUUAUAUUAUAUAUGCAAGAAGUAGAGAAAUCAAAUCUAAUAAAAAUACAUGAACCUCAGUUCACUUUUGGACAGCAGAAAAAGCAAAUGGUGGUAAGCAGAAUUCUACCCCAUUCCUAGGCACCCCAGUUCCUACCCCUUGAUGUACAUGCUCUGCAUAAUCCCCUUUGAAGUGAACAAGACCUGUGAACAUGAUGGGAUAAUCACUUCUGUGAUUACAGUAUGUUAUAUGAUUCCAUUUCCCUCCUGGCUUUGAAGAAGUGAGCUGCCAUGUCAUGAGAACACCAGGUGGCUAGAACCUGAAGAUAGACCCUAAGGAGCUGAGGAUGUUACCCUGCUGACAGCCAGCAAGAAAUGGGUACCUCAGCCCUGUAACUGCAAGGAAUUGAAACCUGCCAACAACCUCUGUGAGCUUGGAAGAGGACCUAAGCUUGUGAUGAGAACACAUCCCCAGCUUGAAAUCAGAUCUACAUAUUGAUUUUAGCAUUGUGAGCUACUGAGCUGAGAACCCAUUUCAGCUGUUUCUGGAUUUCUGAACUACAGAACUAAGAUGACAAAAGGGUAGUGUUUUAAGUUGCUAAGUUUGUGGUCAUUUGUUUACAGCAAUUGUAAACUAAUACAGAAGUGUACGUUUGUUUUCUUAAGGGAGAAGGAGGUAAGUGUUGAAGGAUCGAAACUCUGACAAAAGGCUGGUUGCAGAACAUGACAGGUUGUUGUGCAGGAAACUAUCAUGCAAGUUUAUGUUAAAAUAGAGUAGCUUUUGAGGACUUUCAUUUUUGGUAUUGUAAACAUAAGUCAUUUAAUAUUGUCUAACUGUAACUGAUAAUACCUUUUGCAAAAAGAAACUGUAAAACUUUCGUUUUACUCAGAAGUAAUGGUGCAGCCAUAGAGAUGGAGAAUCCUCAGUUCUAAGAAAAAAAAAAAGAUGAAAAUAAAGGAACACAGAUUAUCUGGAGUGGAUACAGCUGAGCAUGGAUUCUAAGCAUGAUAAAUGCAUGAAAAGUCUUUCAAAUAACCUGGACUAUGACUAGUACUUAUUGUUUCUUAAAGGAGAAAUAUAGUAUCAAACGCGAAAUUACAAGUCUGUUUUUAGAAUUUGUCACCUGUCUGUGUUUAGUGAGGGGAUGUUGAGAAUAUCUAAAGUUUAAAACCAGCUGUAUUCCAAAGGAAAGGAUGUUGGUCCUUUGAGAGAUACCAGAUGUCAGUAAAUCCAGCUCACCACCCACUAUUGUAGGGCCCAUUCACUGAAAUGCUUUUUAUGUUUUAAAAAAAGCAAAAGAAACAUUUUAGAAUAUGUGAAAUUAUAUGAAAUUCAAAUUUCAGUGUCCAUAAAGCUUUAUUGUAACACAGUCACACUCAUUAGCUUUUAUGUUGCAAGAAAAUGGCUGAGAAGCUGUGACACACAUAUGGCCUGCAUAGCCUAAAAUAUUUCCUCUCUGCUCCUUUACAGAAAGUUUGUCAACCCUGCAAUGUAGGAAGAAGGGAAGGAUGAACACAUUUCAUGUAUUCUUAUAGCACAAGCUAACUUUAUGUAUUGGCAAGGAAUCUUUUUUUUUUUUUUUCUUUUGAGACGGAGUUUUGCUCUUGUUACCCAGGCUGGAGUGCAAUGGCACCAUCUCCGCUCACCGCAACCUCCGCCUCCUGGGUUCAGGCAAUUCUCCUGCCUUAGCCUCCUGAGUAGCUGGGAUUACAGGCACGUGCCACCAUGCCCAGCUAAUUUUUUUUUUUGUAUUUUUAGUAGAGACGGGGUUUCACCAUGUUGACCAGGACGGUCUUGAUCUCUUGACCUCAUUAUCCACCUUCUUAUUUUCAAACCAGUCUUUUACCUGCAGCACCUCUAAAAUGUGUUUAAACCAGUUAGAAACAUAGUAACCACAUCGUAGGGAAAGAAGUGAUCACAAGGAAAUGGUGGUAGAAUGCCAGAAGACUGGAAAUUCUAUUAAUAAUAACUUACUUAAAAUUUUAAAAAUAAGUAAAUACCAACUGACCAUCAUCUGCAUAACCUUAUGCAAUUUUGUCUGAUUAAGCUUUUCAGUUUCUUAAUAUUAUAGAUGGAUCCUAUGAUCAAUUCUCCUUAAGGAGUAUUAAUUUUGCCUUUGUGAAGUAUUGGUAGGCCUCUUUUUGGAUGGCAGAAAGGACCGUGAUGUUUAUUUUGUUCCCCAUGUUGCCUUACCUUCCAGCAAAUUCCAACUUACAGUCUGAAUAGAGUCUGUAUAGACGUCUAGUGUUAAACAGCGUUUCUCAGCUUAACCCCAGUUCUAUUUAUAUUCUUUCUCUAACUGGCUUCCAAUCAACUUUUUCUUAAUAUAAUUUUGAAUUGCUCAGUUGUAUGUGGGUGCAUGUAUAUGUUUUUACCUAUAAAAAGUCUCAAAGUCUUUUUGAAAGUAGCCAGGGUUUAAACAUUAUAAUUAUAAACAACUCUUAGGCAGUUAUGCUCAUUUUAAUAUUAGAACUAUUGGAAUGAUAGGCAUGGCAGCGUUCCCUUGUUCUUGAUUUACUAUUUUAUGGCUGCUUAGGACACACGCACUCUUUCUUAAGCACAUAUUCUAACUAAAGACAAAUUAUAUUCUGAGACCACAAUAGAUUUCUUCUUAGGAAAGCCUAUUAAUUUGAUCAAAACACUCAAAAAUUUAUUUUAACUCUAGGGGAUAUAAUAUAUACAUCAUUAGAUCAGAGAUACAUUCAUAGUAAUUCAAAAUAACGGAGAAAUAUACAUUUUCUAUGUGACAUGAAAGUAGUUACCAAUGCUAUAAGAUGGAGAGAUGUUAAAAUAGUCAACUAUUUUUUAGACAAAAAAAGAUUAAAACUCCUGUUCCCAGAAGUACAAAAUGAUACAAACUAGGUAAGUCAGAAAGAGAUCUAAAAAAAUUCUAAAGCCAUUCCUAGUCCUUUGGAAAGCAUUAUAUAAUUCAGUAUUUAAAAGAUGAGAUAUUCAAACAAAUCUCUUUUUACCAAUACCUUUGAGUCUUAGAUUAACAAUGAACCAGGACAGUAAUUUUUCACUAAUGUAGUAAUUAGAAAUACAGAAUCAAGGUUUCUAAUGAUAUUACAUGAAUUCCUUGAUUUUGCAAGUCUUUAAUAUCAAAGAAGAUAGGUGGAUAAAUGGAGGGCUAGUUAAAAAAAUAAAAAAGAGGAAGAGGUCACAUUUGCCACAAAAUGAAGUCGUAGAAAAAGACAGAUUCUUUCCCUCCCAACAUAUUUUGUUGAGAAUGCCACUGAUUUUUAAAGACAAGUAGAUUUUAUUAUGUCCUUUCAGUUCUCAGUUGAUGUUUUCCAGCAAUAAACAAAUUAUUGGUUAAUUUUUCCAGAUGACAUUUACAAUUGACAAACCAAAUUUUCUCAAAUUGUUCUAUUAUUUUGUUUGUUUUGAAAUCUAGUAAGGCCCAGAGUGCCCUACAGAAGUGUUUGCUCAAUGGAUUCCCCAAUUUUAUGAAAGAUUCAUUACAAAAGCCUCAGAUUUUACUCAAAGAGUCUAGAUUUCACAGAGCAGAGUAAGACUACUCACAUAACUUUUGAAAUAUAGUAUACCUGAAAUGCUAACAUCAACUUUGACAGGUCCUGAAUUUUUUCCCCAUUAGCUUAUUGUAUAAUUCUGAUAAAUGGUAUUCCAAAAUCAAAAGUCACCCAUGACUGACAGGUUUUUAGUUUUAAUUUUUUCCAAAUAUUUUUCACUUUGGAAUUUUUACAUGAAUUCCAAAGUACAGAGAAACUAAUGUAUUUUAUGCUACUGGAAAAGUCAUGACAACUUGGUUUAUCCUUAAAUGAAAUACCAGAAGCUAUAUUCUGGGAAAUAUUUAAUGAUUGCUACAACUCUGUGUUAAUAAAAUGGAAACAACCAUGAGGGCUUAUGAAGAAACACAAACCAGUACACAGCGAAUGUCGGGGAUCCUCUUCGCUUUACGAUGACAUAUAAGACUCAAAGGGACACAAGUGGGCACAAUCAACAUUCUCUUACUGUCUACAAUUUUUGCAAAGUUUUUCAACUGCAUCCAGGGUGACAUUCUUACAGAAACUGAGUUUUACAUAUUCCAAACAAGUAUGACGAUAAGCCACUGAACAACCUCUAAAUAGGAAAAAGAGGAUGAAAAAGUUAUUAGAAUCAGUCAUUAAAUAUACUUUUUACAAAUAGUUUCUUGAAUUUUACCCUCAAACUUACCUUAGCCCUGACAUAUCACAAACCUUCCCCUCCCCUACCAGAGUGAAAAUACAAAUUGAACUUACUAAAUACACGUUUUAAGACAUUUGAUAAAAUGUCCCGACUGCAAAAAUCAGGCAUAAAAGGAAAACACUGGGGAAAAAUCAAGCAGAAAAAGAGACAACGAUCUAAAGACAUCUGAGUUUCAUUUUGAGAUUAUUAAAGAAAUAUUCCAGAGAAUUAUUACAGUGUUAUCAUUGUGAUGUGUAUUUAAUAACGAGGUGAAAAUAAUCAUUAUCUUAACCUCUGGCACCAGAAUUACUCAUGGGAGGGAACCAUCUGUUUUGGAUAAUACUGUGACACGUUAAUUUUGCUCACAAAUGAACUAGAAGAGCCUGAUUAACAUUAACCAGGUAGGAGGGAACAGCAGCCCAGGAAACAAGGGAGGAUGGUGGGGAGAGGGAGACAGGAGAACUAAGUUCACUCCAGAAUUUGUUAAAAUCAGAGACAUGGAAUUUUGAUCCUCUUAAGCAAAUGUUUACCUUUAUUUCGAGUCAAAAAGGCCUCUUUUGGGAUAAGGGAUCUCUGUAUAACCUGAAUCACUAGUUCUCAAAGGAUAUUUCCUGGGCCAGCAGCAUCAUCACCACCUGGGAAAUUGUUAGAAACUUCGAAGUCUCACCCUCAACCCACUGAAUCAGAAACGGGGGGGCUCACUAAUCUGUGUUUUAACAAGUCCCCAGGUGAUUUUUGAUGCAGAUAAAACUUGAGACUCACUGACCUCAAACGAUAGUUUGCAGCUGUCAAAGUAAGUUAAAAUGGAGGCCAGGCCUGAGGAAUCCCCAAGCAGGCAAAGCCAGUUAGUCCUCAUAAGUGACCUCGGCCUUCCUUGAUUUGCGAAUAUAAGCAAAACCUAACUUGAGCCAUUUCUUGUAAACACCUGUGUUAAACAGAAAUGAGGCCAGGCACAGUGGCUCACACCUGUAAUCCCAGCACUCUGGGAGGCCCAGCACUUUGGGAGGCCAAGGCGGGUGGAUCACCUGAGCUCAGGAAUUUGAGACUGGCCUGGCCAACAUAGUGAAACCCAUCUCUAUAAAAAUUAGUCGGGCGUGGUGGCAUGCAUCUGUAGUCCCAGCUACCUGGGAGGCUAAGGUGGGAGAAUCGUUUGAACCCAGGUUGCAGUAAGCAGAGAUUGUGCUGCUGCACUUCAGCCUGGGCAACGGAGCUAGACCCUGUCGAGAGAGAGAAGGGGUGGGGGGAGAGAGAGAGAGAGAGAGAAUGAAUAAAACUUCAGGCUAACCAAUAAGAAGCUGCCAACUAACUUUUAGCUAUAGUACUAGAAAUUUCCCAGCGGGUUAUAUUUGCAUUUCUCUAACAAUCAGUGAUAUUCAACUUUUUUUCAUAUGCCUGUUGGCCACAUGUGUGUCUUCUUUUGAGAAGUGUCUGUUCAUGUCCUUUGCCCACUUUUUAAUGUGGUUCUUUGUUUUUCUCUUAUAAAUUUGGUAAGUUCCUUACAGAUGCUAGAUAUUUGGCCUUUGUCAGGUGUAUAGUUUACAAAUAUCUUCUCCCAUUCUGUAGAUUGUCUGUUUACUCUGUUGUUAGUUUCUUUUGCUGUGCAGAAGCUCUUAAGUUUAAUUAGAUCAUAUUUGUCAAUUUUUGCUUUUGUUGUGGUUGCUUUUGGUGUCUUUGUCAUGAAAUCUUUGCCCAAUCCUAGGUCCAGAAUAGUUUCCCUAGGUUGUCUUCCAGGGUUUCUAUAGUUUGGAGUUUUACCAUUAGGUCUUUAAUCCAUCUUGAGUUGAUUUUUGUAUAGCGUGUAAGGAAGAGGUCCAGCUUCAGUAUUCUGCUUAUGGCUAGCCAGUUAGCCCAGCAACAUUUAUUGAAUAGGGAGUCUUUUCCCAUUGCUUGUUUUUGUCAGUUUUGUCAAAGAUUUUAGAUGUGUGGCCUUAUUUCUGGGCUCUGUAUUGUGUUCCUUUGGCCUAUGUGCCUUUGUACCAGUACCAUGAUGUUUUGGUCACUGUAGCCUUGUAGUAUAGUUUGAAGUCGGGUAACACUACACACUUAAACAACCAGAUCUCUCAGAACUCACUCGGUAUCAAGAAGACAGCACUAAACUAUUGAGGUAUCUGCUUCCAUGACCCAAACACCACCCACCAGGUCCUACUUCCAUCAUUGGGGAUUACAGUUCAACAUGAGAUUUGGGCAUAGACAAAUAUCUAAACUAUGUCAACAGUCUUGUGAUAUGAUGAUUAAAAAAAUACUCAUGUCAGAGAAUCAUCCUCAAAGAUCCCACCAACCUUAACAAAUUAUAUGUCUAGCAACAAAUUGUUUAAAAUAAGUGUAUAGGUAGAAAGGUUAAAAAUCUCAUUAAGCAACAUUUUUAAUUUGCUACUGGUUGGAUUUCCUAAAAAUUAUAAUUCUGAAUAAACAAAAGGCAUAUUCAGUACCAUAUCUGUGCCCUCCAAAAGCAUGAGCAUCUAAAACUCUUCUGUUAAGCUAGUUACCAAAAAUUAUGGAGCUGUAGGAAGACAGGUGAGAGUGGAGAACAGGAAGAAAGUGAUAGAAAUGAGGGGAAGUAGGUUUGUACCACACAUAUUUCCACUUCCCAGACCUGUUAUAUAAAGGAGACAGUCAUGCAUCACAAGUGGUAAUAAUGGAAAUAUAAGAGAGUCCCAUACAGAUAUGGCUGUGCCAACAUCAAAGGCAAAGGAACUUUCAUAGUUAAAUCCUAUGUAUGAUGACCUUUGCCCACCCCUGCAAGAUGAUAGAGCCAGAUAGUAUAGUGGCCCAUACACACUGUCAAAGAUAGCCUGGGUUAGAUUUUGAAAAUUUCACAUAGCAUACUAUGGAGGGUACUUCAUAAAGGUGACAACAGCAUGGAAAACUUCCAAGGACUUUCCCUAAAAGAAUUAUUCAGGUGUCAGUAAUAGAACACAUGUAUCUAAUAAGUCUAUUCCUCUCAAUGCUAAAAAUAAAUUAUACAUACAUAAAACAUUUCUUUCCCAUCUUUAAAAAUGGACAUUUUCUUUAAUUUCUGUUAAUAACAGAAAAAUUUCAUGGUACUAUCUCUAAGUACUGAAAUUCUGGUAUCUCAUUGGGUUCCAGUGAGUCAUUAGACUGGUGCAAUCUGGGAAAUAAAUCUUCCCUGCAAUAAUUAUGAAAAUACAAAAUUCUUGGUAGCAGAAAGUGAAACCCUAGUGGUCCAGACCAAGAUCACGGUUGGGACUAGCUGGCUAAAGAUGAAGCCUCGGACCAGAAACACAGUGGCGCAAAUGAAUCCAGACACAUUUGUCUACAACUUUUAUAAUAGACACAUCCUUUCUCAUUGGAAUAACAUCAGGCUGUGCUAUGAAGUGAAAAUGAAAACAAAGGACUCCUCAAGGCCCCUUUUGGUUGCAAAGACCUUUCAAGGCGAGGUCUAUUCCAAGCUUCAACACCACCCAGAGAUGAGAUUCCUUCAUUGGUUCCUCAACUGGAAGCUGCAUAGCGACCAGGAGUACAAGGUCACCUGGUUUGUAUCCUGGAGCCCCUGCCCAGUGUGUGCAAGGAAUGUGACCAAGUUCCUGGCCGAGGACAGUAAGGUCACCCUGACCAUCUUCGUGGCCCGACUCUACUCCUUCUGGGACCCUCAUUACCGUGAGGAGCUUCACAGACUGUGUCAGAAAAGAGACAGUCCGCAUGCCACCAUGAAGAGCAUGAAUUAUGGCAAAUUUCAACACUGUUGGGACAAGUUCCUGUACAACCAAAGAUUGUACAAGCCUUGGAAUAAGCUGCCUAAACAUUAUACAUUACUGCGCAUGAUGCUGGGGGAGGUUCUCAGACACCUGAUGGAUCCAGGCACAUUCACUUACAACUUUACCAACGACCUUUCAGUCCUUGGACAGCACCAGAUCUACUUGUGUUACGAGGUGGAGCACCUGCACAAUGGCACCUGGGUCCUGCUGGACCUGUACAGAGCCAUCAUACUCAACAAGGCUUCAAAUAAUUCCAGUUUCCCUGAAGGCCACCACGCAGAGCUGUGCCUCCUGGACCUAAUUUCCUUUUGGAAGCUGCACCCAGCCCAGUGCUACAGGGUCACCUGCUUCAUUUCCUGGAGCCCCUGCUUCAGCUGUGCCCAGGAGGUGGCUAAAUUCCAUCAAGAGAACCCACACAUGAGCCUUUGCAUCUUCUCUGCCUGCAUCUAUGAUUAUCAAUGAAGAUAUAAAAAGGGCCUGCACAGGCUGGACAAAGCUAGGGUCCCAAUUUCCAUGAUGAAAUACAAUGAGUUUAGGCACUGCUGGGACACCUAUGUGGAUCACCAGGGACACGCCUUCCAGCCCUAGGAGGGACUAGAUGAGCACAGUCAAACCCUGAGUGGAAGGCUUCAGGCCAUUCUUCAGAAUUAGGGAAACAGAUGGAUGAGCCUCAGUCUCUAAGGAAGCAGAGACCUGGGUUGAGCAGUGGUAUAAAAGAUCUUCCAAGAAAUGCAAGCAGGCCAUUCACCACCAUCUCCAGCUGAUCACAGAUGCCAGCAAAGCAAUGCACUCCUGACCAAGUAGAUUCUUUUAAAAAUUAGAGUGAAUUACCUUUAAUCAAAAAUUUAUGUGCUACAGUAGUAAGACUGUGCUCAAUAUACUCAGAAAAGUUUCAAGCCUACUAAUCCAGUGACAAUUUGAAUUAGUGUUAUAUGUAGAAUAAUACAAUCAAAUACUAAAUAUUUUCAUAUAUUAAAAAAAAGGACAAAUUCUUCAUAAUGAGUUUACUCAAACUUUUUUUGCUUUUUAAAAAAUAUAUUAGUAAAAGAAACAAUAACCACCUUUUCUUAAGUUAGUACAUGAGCUUAUGUACAAUAAAUAAUGCAUAUUCUUUGGAAUAAAGAAAAACUCAAGAGCAUUAUGAAAAACAAUGCCUAACAUAGAAUGCUGUCUCUGUGCCAGGCCCCUAAGACCUUUUCUGUAUUAGCUCACUUCAUCCCCGCAAUCAUCCUAAGGCAGGUGCUAUCAUCUUCAUGUUACUGAUGAGGAAACCGAGGCACAGAGAGGCUUGACUGACCUAUCCAAGGUCACACUGACAAUUAAAGAGCUGGACUUGGACCAGGGACUCUGUCUCCAAAGUUCACAUUCCAAAGCAAUUCUUCUUGUCAAAGUAAAUAAAACAGAUGCUUCAGACUUG